UACGUAGGGCCUAGCGUUGUCCGGAAUUAUUGGGCGUAAAGAGCUCGUAGGCGGUUCGGCAAGUCGGAUGUGAAAUCUCCACGCUUAACGUGGAGGGGCCAUUCGAAACUGCUGUGACUCGAGUCCGGUAGGGGAGUGUGGAAUUCCCGGUGUAGCGGUGAAAUGCGUAGAUAUGUGGAGGAACACCGGUGGCGAAGGCGGCGUCCUGGACCAACACUGACACUGAUGAGCGAAAGCCAGGGGAGCAAACAGG
rnacentral:rRNA from 1 species